GGAAAAGCGGGCGGGAAAGGGUUAAUGGGGUCAUGGAGGGGUCAGUGGGGUCAUGGAAGGGUCAGUGGGGUCAUGGAAGGGUCAACAAAGUCUUCCAUUGGUCAAUGGGAUCAUGGAUUGGCCAAUGGAAGGGUAAAUGAAGCCAUGGAAGGGUCAAUGGGGUCAUGGAAGGGUCAAUGGGGUCAUGGAAGGGUUAACGGGGUCAUGGAAGGGUCACUGAGGUCAUGGAAGGGUCAUUGGGGUCAUGGAAGGGUCAGUGGGGUCAUGGAAGGGUCAAAGGGGUCAUGGAAGGGUCAAUGGGGUCAUGGAAGGGUCAAUGGGGUCAUGGAAGGGUUAACGGGGUCAUGGAUUGGUCAAUGGGGUCAUGGAAGGGUCAUUGAGGUCAUGGAAGGGUCAUUGAGGUCAUG